rnacentral:rRNA from 1 species
GAAUAUUGGACAAUGGGGGGGAACCCUGAUCCAGCCAUGCCGCGUGUGUGAAGAAGGCCUUUUGGUUGUAAAGCACUUUAAGCGAGGAGGAGGCUACCUGGAUUAAUACUUUAGGAUAGUGGACGUUACUCGCAGAAUAAGCACCGGCUAACUCUGUGCCAGCAGCCGCGGUAAUACAGAGGGUGCGAGCUGUGAUCGGAUUUACUGGGCGUAAAGCGUGCGUAGGCGGCCAAUUAAGUCAAAUGUGAAAUCCCCGAGCUUAACUUGGGAAUUGCAUUCGAUACUGGUUGGCUAGAGUAUGGGAGAGGAUGGUAGAAUUCCAGGUGUAGCGGUGAAAUGCGUAGAGAUCUGGAGGAAUACCGAUGGCGAAGGCAGCCAUCUGGCCUAAUACUGACGCUGAGGUACGAAAGCAUGGGGAGCAAACAG